rnacentral:lncRNA from 1 species
AAAAACAUAUUCUGAGCACAAAAAAUUUGGAUGCCUAAACUUUUAAAUACAACACUAAAUGCAUAUGUGUUUGUUUGGCAAUGAAUCAUGAGGGAUUUAUCUAUUCUAAGAUUCUUUAAUAAAGAAGAGCAUUUACAUUAUAUUUCCAAGUGGUUAAUGGCCUGAUGAGAUUUUCCUAAUGUUGAUGAGUGAAACAACCAAAAAUGUAUAACUUAGCUGUCAAUCAGACUCACCAAGGGGGCAGGUCCUCUCACAACUCUACCUUGAUCGUUGUAUUGGGAUCCAUGGCAGGGGCAUAUGAACUUGUUCUCGGCUUGAUUCCACGGAACAACACACCCAAGGUGUGUGCACACAGCAUUUAUACCAUAUGUUGCAAGAGUUCUGUCUUUCUCUACCACUAGGUAGGUUGGGUCUCCCUGAAAGUAAACAAAAUCCAUUUUUAAUAUCAACUUUCAUAAUGCAGUUACUGCUACUGCUCUCGUUCAUGCGUUCUCAUGCCUAACAUUAGCAAGAGACAAAUAACCUAAACAUAAAAAAAGAUUGAGCUCAACCAAUGGCAAGCAUAGCUCAUAAGUCACUGUUGACCGCCAAAACUUUGCAUUGUAAGAACUUACAUGGCAAACAAUUUCCUAGAGGAAACCAGAGCUCUUCGAGAUUUCAUGUUGAAUGCUCUUAGGAUGGUCUGAAACAUUCAAUUAGAACAAACUGUAAUUAACAUGUGUACUUACCUUCAAUCCUUGAGUCAGGGUUCGGUCCCCAGGGCCAUGAGUCUUGAGCCAUUCUUCAGCAAUUACAUCGUUUCCGAUUGCGUCCUUGGCAACGGUGCCACCACCGGUACCCCGUCCCCUGGUAAUAAAGGUUUAAUACAAACAGUGAUAAACGACAAUGAGAUAACCUAUCAAGUAAAGCCAAAUCUUUUAAAUGAAAAUUCAUCAACCACUUAAUUAGGGAAAAUAACAUGGUUUAUAAUUUUAAUAUUUGAUGACAGUUAGUUGAACAACUAUUUUUCCAUGGUUUCAGAACAUGCUUAUAAUUGAUAAAAUAAAGGACCAAUUCUAUAUUUACUACCAUCAUAUUGCAGAUAACUUAAUACUUGACCAAUUUCAUGCUUGCGGUCAUACUUAACCACGAUCAUGUUGUUCUGCCUAUAAGAAUUAGAUGCAUCAUUUAGCACCCUCAGAUCUCGAUACUUGAUUAGGAACUGAACAAGGAAAGAGGAGGAGAAGUUACCCAGAUGGGACAAAGAAUGCUGCAUAAGGAACCAACAUGAAACCUGAGGGGAGUGAAAUAGCCCCCAACAGAAGCAGAUUCAUGAGCUGCCUCUUGCCCAUGUCUGGCACUCUAUCAGCAGGGAUGCUAGUGGCCUGGCAUGUGAUCCUCAUUCCCUUUUCGUUUUUGACCAAAUGGGUCCUCGUUGGUUUCACAAGAAACGCUUGUGAUGGGCAGAACAUGCCACUCUUGCCGGAGCAUAGCUGUUUCAUACAAGAACACACACACACAAAAAAAAGACCUUCAGUAAAAAGUCUUGAAGGAAGAAUUUACAGAGUAAUUUGAAGUACCAAAACGUGUUGGGAUACACCUGCCAAGGAGCUGCAGGGGAGAGAGUUGAGGAAGCCAUGAUAAACAAUAGUUGGGGUUUAGUAGUGAGACGGAUGGCUUGUGUUUUCCAUCCCUUAUUAUGGAGAUGAGUGAUCAAAGCUCUAUCGCCUACCGUAGCAAGAAGAUAAGGCACGUAUGAAGCUAUGGCUGCCACAUAAGCCACAUGUUUGUGGAAUGUGGACAAUGGUUCUUGCUCUUCCUUGCAAGUGGCCUAGCCCAAUCGCACAAAAUUUCUGGACUUUCACAUACUGCAAGGUGAGUUGGGGUCCUGGUCUAACUAAAUGGGCCGAAGUAGCGUAUAUGUUUCUCUCAUCUGCCCUGCGUUUGCUUCAUUGUAACACCAUUUCUAUGUGGCCUGCACCCACCUUCCUUUUUCAGUUCUUGUUUUUUUCUUUUUUAAAGUUCUCUAUGUUUAGCAGAGACCAGUUUGGGUGGACAAAAUCUUAAUUAAUACAAAUAUAAUAAUACCAAUCAUAUUGGUAUGUAUUAAAUUUUAUUUUUAUAUGUAGGAAACAUAUUAUGUUUUUGUAUCCAUUAAUUGAAAAUCAAUGAGCUCUACCUCUAACCUUGGGUUCUUAAUAAAGAAAGUAGCUUCAACAUAUGCAAGAAAAGCUUGAGUGAAAAGGAUUGGUACGUAAAUUAUAAAUUGGGUGUCCUGCUUCACUUAAAAAAUCACCCUACAUUAGUUGGUUGUUUGGUCUAUAUUAGGAGUUAAGACUCUUUAUCUUGUGUUGGCAUUAGAUUUCGAUUGAGGUAAUUAUAUUGAGUCAUGACAGAAAAUGACCCAACAUCUUUGGAUUAUUUUAUAGUACACGAUAGUUUUAAAAUCAUGUUUUUCUAUUACAUUUGUUGUUUUAGGACUUUUUUCCGUCCGGAAGAUGUACGUCUGCCGGAUUAUCACUUGGAUAUAACGGUAUUCAAUCGGUUAAUCGACCCGAAAUAACAUUAACCAAAUUAACUAACAUUUUAAAAUUUUUAACCGUUAACCGAACCGAAAUAUUUUCAAAAAAAUUAACCGAGCCGAACUUUUUUUAGUUAAUUCGGUCGGUUAACCGAAUUAACCGAAAAUUAUAUGUUUUUUAUUUUUGGUUAAAAAUUAACCAAAUUAUCCGAAUUACCCGAAUUAACCGAGUUGAAUCACUACAUAAUUAAAAACAUUACAUAAGUCUUUGAAUCACUAAUAUUACAUAAGUCUUGAAAUUAACACAUAAUUGAAAUGUAAGUCUUUAAUAUUCUCUAUUUGUAUCCAUUUCUUCUCCCCAAAAGAUCUGCAUUUGCAUUAAACCUACAAGAAAAAAAACAUGUACAAAAAUUUAGCAUAUAAUAGAAAUAUACGCAUUUAAAAAAAUCAAAUAAUAUAAACAAACGAAUAGAUUAUAAGUUAACAAGAAUAAAAAUUUUAUUUUUAUUUAUUAAAUUAUUUGUAAUUUUUAUGAUUGGGUUGGGUUGGGUAAUUGGGUUGGGUUGGAUACUUGGGUUUGGAUUGAGUUUAGGUGAAUAGUGGGCCUAUUUAUAUAUUAUAAUUUUAUUUAUUAAUUUUUUCGGUUAAACCGAAAAAUUCGGUUAACCGAUCGGUUUCGAACCGAAUUAACCGUUAACCGAAAAAUUAAAAAAUAAUUAAUCGACCCCCAACAGAAAAAAUUCGGUUAACCAACCGAUUAACCAAAUUCAGUCGGUUAACCAAAAUUUUUCGGUUUUACCCGAAUUUUUCACACCCCUAUUUGGAUAGUUGUAUAUAUUAUUAAGAUAACUUUAUAUUUGGUACUAGGACUUUGACAAAUCUUCUAAUGUGGUACCUGGUACUUAAGGGUGUUCAAUCGGUUAACCGACCGAGUAACCGUCCCGAACUACCAUUAACUGAAUUAAUCCUUUUAAACCCUUAACUGUUAACUGAACCGAAUUUCUUUUCAAAAAAAAGUAACCAAAUCAAACUUUUUCGGUCAAUUUUGUCAGUUAACCGAAUUAAUCGAAAUUUAUAUAUAUAUAUAUAUAUUAUUUUUGGUUAAAACAAGUAUAAAACAUAUAAAAAAAUUAACCGACUAAUUUAAUUUAUACUUCUAAAAAAAUUAACCGAACCGACCGAAUACUUAUGUAUUAUAAUAUUAUUUAUUAAGUUCGGUUAAUUUGGUUAACCGAUCGAUUUCGAACCGAAUUAACCGUUAAUUGAACUUCCAAAAAAUUAUUAACCGACCCCGACCGAAUUAAUUCGGUUUUACCCGAAAUUUGCACAUCCAUACUGGUACCUGGACUUUUAAAAAAGUUGGUUUUAGUACCUGAACUUUAACUUCGUUUAUCAAUGUGAUACCUCCCUUUAACUGUGUUGAAAUCUAACAUGACUUGACAUGUGGAUCAAUUCAAUGUUGGCACAUGGCACUAUUUGUCAAAAAAAAUUAAUUGGUAAAGGUCAUGAGACUUGAAAAUAAUUAUACCAAAAUUUAUUUUAAAGGAAAAAAAUACACAAUAAACAAUAAACAAUACAAUUGACAUGACUAAAUUAAAAUUCGUUACUAAUUGUUAACUAAUUACAUUUUUUUUUAUAAAAUCCUAAACUUUCUUGUCUCUUUAACAUUUUCUUUUUCCCUUUUUCUGUCGUUGUUCAAUGCCUUUCUCGAUAUGAGCUAAGCUCUAUUAAUCAUUCAAAAACUAAUUACAACAAGAAGAGGGAACAUAGGUGCUGAUAAUAUCCUAACCAACUUGUACAAAUUUUCUUUUGUUGUAACAGUCUAGCUAACGUGUCAUCCAUCCUUGAGGAUAAGAACCAGCUCACACAAUGAUGAUAAAAUUCAUCCAGCUCAUUUGACAGAAUGUUUGGUUACUCAUUUAAUAUUCACCCUGUUUUCUGACUUGUUUUGAGAAAGCAUACAUAGAGCAUCAUUGCUAGAAACUACUCGUAGCUUAGUUCUUAAUUCAAGGAAAGACUGCUGAAUGAUUGGUCUGGUGAGAGCAUCUGCUAACUGAUGUUUAGCGAGGACCUAACCAACAUGAAACUGGUUAUUAAACACCUUUUCCUUACAAAAUGGAGAUCCAAAUAAACAUGUUUGGUCUUUGAAUGGCGAAUCAGAUUAGUUGCCAUAGUGACAAUGCUUGAAUUAUCACACCAAAUUUUAGGUGGAUCGAGUAAAGUGACACCAAAAUCUUUCAACAAAGACUAAAGCUAGAUGAUUUCAAAUGCAGUGUCAACAAGGCUUCCGUACUCUGCCUCGGUUGUAGAUCUAGAAACAGAUCAUUGUUUUUGGGACCUCCAAUAAAUGAUGUCAGAUUCAAGAAAGACACAGUAAUCAGAUAUGAAACGUCGGUCAUCAGCAUCACUACCCUAGUCAGCGUCGUAAUAAGCAGUCAGAGAAAGUAAUUCACUUGGAGAAAACAUAAGUUCGUAGUCUAGAGUUUCAAGUAUCGAGAUUCUUUUUACGGCAAUCCAAUGAGGCUCUCGUGGUUCAUGCAUAUAUUGUGUCACUUUGUUAACACUGAAUGAAAUGUUUGGUCAUGAAUGACAUAGGUAUUGAAGCAAUCCAACUAUGCUUCGAUAGCCUAAAGGAUCAGGAAUGAGUGCUUUAUCAUCUUUGGUUAGUUUGUGUCCAACGAUCAUAGGAGUAGGAACUGGCUGGGAGUCUGUCAUGGCUGCCUUGGUAAGCAGGUCAACAGUAUAUUUUUGUUGAUUAAGGAAAAGUCCCUGGCCAGUUUUUUUUACCUCAAUACAAAGAAAAUAUUGUAAUAAGCCAAGAUCUUUCAAGGUGAAUUGUUGAUAAAGUUGUUGAACAAUCAAAUCAAGCAUUUGUGGCGUGCUUCCAAUGAGUAAUAUAUCAUCAACAUAAACUAUAAUAUAGGUAACAUCCAACCUAUGUUGAAGAAUGAAUAGGAAUGAAUCGACUUUGGAGGAGAUAAAGCCAAGUCUUUGAAGGAAUUGUUGAACCUUGAGAAACCAAUUUCGUGGUGCUUGUUGUAAACAAUAAAUGGCUUUGUUGAGCUUGCAAACAAGAGGAGUCCUAUCCGCCUGAUGUUGCUCGAAACUUGGAGGCUGGAUUAUAUUGUUGGAAAAAUCUCGGUUUGAAAAUAAUUUUCUUGCACAGUGAAAAAUAAAAAUUUUAAAAAUCGACUUGGUUUGUGAUAUUUAUAGCAAUAAACCUUAACGGAAUUCACACCUGUGUUUUUGAAUAAGUAGAUCCUUGAUGUUUUCCGACUUUCAACCAAACGAUCUUCUCCACUAUUCUCGUACCACGAACUACUUCGAGUAUGGGCUCGAACCAAAUGAAUCAAAACACAGAAGUAGAAGAAGAUUUCCUUAGGGGUGAAAAUGUAAAUUCUCUCUUCUUUAAUAGAAACCGUUAAAAUUGUUAUUAUGAAAAAUAUGCUUAUAAGUUGAGAAUAAAUUCUCUCUAUUUUUUGGCAAAAUAACAAUCUCUAAAAAGUUGUGUUCACAGUUAUAUCCGUGUCAUCUAUUUAUAGGAAGAGAAGGCAGAACCCUUGUAGAUUUGUAAAAGUUUAUUUCCACUAGAAAAAUGAUAUCCUAGUAUAUAAGGAGUGACAACCUUAGUUAAUGAUAUUAGGGUUUUGCCGUCACACCUCUUUACAAGAGGGGUUUUGGGCCUCUCCCACAUCGGGUCCAAUUACGAGUACUUCCUGAGCCUUUUUGACCCAAUACUCUGUAACAUGAUUUAACUUGAUUAAAAUUUUCUAUUUCCCAAAAUAAACUUUAAUACUUACAUAUUAAAUAAUUUUCUCACCCAAAUUUUACUUGAGUAAAAUUUUGACAAUUUUACCCUCUAUAAAAUUUUGAUGAUUUUACCCCUAAUAAAAUUUUGAGAAAUUCGUUCAAUAUGUUACAACUCAACAUGUUCACGAUGACCGAAUGAUUUAUUUUCAUUUUCGGGCUUCAAAACAGUCCAAAAACAUAAACUUAUCCUUUCAUCAUUUUUAAGUAAUCCGAUAUAAGAUUGCAAGUUUCCAUUUCCAUUUCCAAUUUUGGAAACCUACAUUUAUUUCCAAAUGAUUCAAUUUCUCCAUUUCAGAGAAAACCAAAAUCAUUCCUGAAUGUUUCUCAAUUCUCUUUUUUUGUUCAUUCUAUUCAUUUCUAUUCAAACACGCAAUUCAUUUGUAGUUGAUGCUCAAAUGAUUUAUAAUUAAGUUUUAUCUUUUUGCUUAUUAAUUAUAAACCCAUUUAGUCACAAAUGAGUUAUCAAGAAUCAACACUAAAAUAAUCAAUCUACGUGCAGUGUACUGUAAGUAUGACAGGUCAUUUGUAAUAUUUUCAGUGUCACAAUGGAAAACCUGAGUGUUCCAAGGAUUGAACCUAAGAGAGUUCUGUGACCAAGCGAUUCUAAUCUAUAGCAUGCAACUUGGGAGUCUAACUAACUACUCACAAAGUGUCAUAUUACGACAAAUCAUAAUUGAAGGUGAAUUAAACUAAUUAAUUAUCUAAAAACAGAAAAGGUCCAAGAUGGAAAUCAUACAAAUUAUGAAACUAGCAAAUUCAAAAAUAGACAAGGGUUGGCUGAUUUUCAUGUUGUUGGUUAACCUUUGAAUCAAGGAUCUAAAUCGCUAAUGCUCCUAAAUUGGCUCAAUUUUCCAUUUCGGCCUCAAAUUUACCAAAUUAGGCAAAUUAGUCUAGCCUAUCUCUCGACCUCACCAAACUAACUUGGGACGAUCGAAUUGGUGCUCGAUAAGAUCUCCUCUUGAUCUCACUGAUCUAAAUUUUUCCUUAGGGCCAUCAAUCCUAAGUUUUGAAUUCUAUUCGAUUUAGUCUUUAAACUUAAAAAUCAACUACCUAACAUUUCCAUCAACCAACCAACUAAGAUUUAACCAUCCAUACUCACCUCUAAACACACAAACAAUAAAUAUUCAAAUGAAAAGUGCAGUAACUUAAAUUCAAAGAAAGGUGAAUAAAACUUAAGCUUUCUUGAAAAAGCUUGGAGAACACAACAAUGGCGACAAGGUAGUUGAAUAAAAAUAUCAAAGAUAUGAAUUUUAACAAGUGAAAUGAAAUAAAGCUGAAUGAUAUUAAACCAAAGAAUUAAAGUGUAAAUACAAGGGAAGUUAAUGAGAUUUUACCACGUCUUAUUUACUUUUUAAAUUUUUUUUAAAUACAAUUUAAGAACACAUGAUAAAAUCUCAACUCUGCUCGUGAAAUACUUUUCACAACUAAUGUAACAAAUAAUUAUCCUAUAUAUAAAUUUUUAGUAGAACAAGAAUACUCGUACCAAUUCUAAUUUGGAAAUAGGGUCUUGCAACCUAUGUUUAGCAACGCUACAAAACAUACCGACUGAAUAAAUCUCAAAUAUAACCCAACAAACAGCCUGAGCCAAUGGUUGUGGAGAUAUUUAAGACCACCAUGGAGCAUCACCGGUUCUGAAAUCUGUUUCCACCCAUGGAACAAAUACUACCUUCCCGUCUUCAACACCAGCGUGUGCCAAUGCCAACGACUGUUCGAUCACACAAUAAAGUUGCCCAUUAACUCAUUAUUAUAAACAAUUAGAUUAUAUAUAUAUAUAAAAGAAACUAUAACAAAAUGAGACAAAAACAUAUUCUGAGCACAAAAAAUUUGGAUGCCUAAACUUUUAAAUACAAUACUAAAUGCAUAUGUGUUUGUUUGGCAAUGAAUCAUGAGGGAUUUAUCUAUUCUAAGAUNNNNNNNNNNNNNNNNNNNNNNNNNNNNNNNNNNNNNNNNNNNNNNNNNNNNNNNNNNNNNNNNNNNNNNNNNNNNNNNNNNNNNNNNNNNNNNNNNNNNAUUAUAUUUCCAAGUGGUUAAUGGCCUGAUGAGAUUUUCCUAAUGUUGAUGAGUGAAACAACCAAAAAUGUAUAACUUAGCUGUCAAUCAGACUCACCAAGGGGGCAGGUCCUCUCACAACUCUACCUUGAUCGUUGUAUUGGGAUCCAUGGCAGGGGCAUAUGAACUUGUUCUCGGCUUGAUUCCACGGAACAACACACCCAAGGUGUGUGCACACAGCAUUUAUACCAUAUGUUGCAAGAGUUCUGUCUUUCUCUACCACUAGGUAGGUUGGGUCUCCCUGAAAGUAAACAAAAUCCAUUUUUAAUAUCAACUUUCAUAAUGCAGUUACUGCUACUGCUCUCGUUCAUGCUUUCUCAUGCCUAACAUUAGCAAGAGACAAAUAACCUAAACAUAAAAAAAGAUUGAGCUCAACCAAUGGCAAGCAUAGCUCAUAAGUCACUGUUGACCGCCAAAACUUUGCAUUGUAAGAACUUACAUGGCAAACAAUUUCCUAGAAGAAACCAGAGCUCUUCGAGAUUUCAUGUUGAAUGCUAUUAGGAUGGUCUGAAACAUUCAAUUAGAACAAACUGUAAUUAAC